AGCAGUGCACCAAGCCCUCCUCUUGGCAGGAAGCAGCAGACUAGAGCAAGUGAGGGAGAGUCGAAGCUGGCGGGGGGGUUUUCCCAGACAACAGCCUGUCCCGUGCUGCUCCCUGCCAGCCCCAAAUCAGGAGUCCCCCCACCCCCGCACCACCGUGUUUCUAGUCCUGAGAGUGAUGGGCUGGGGGAUGGAGCCUCUGAAAAUUCCACGAAGGUACUGCCCAGUUUUAGCAAUGAAAGUCCCACGUCACGGGAAACCUCUGAGUCCUGGACAAAUCAAGAUGACAUUUUCUAUGCAUAUGCAAGCAUGACUGGGGUAGAAAAGGAAGGAAGAAUGGAAGGAGGAAUAGCGGGAGACAGGACAGCCUCAGCGCAAACUUUCAUUUCCUUCCCACCAGAGGGCACUAGGAUCCCCCUCUCCCCACUGCAGUGCUGGCCUGUGAGUUGAACUUUCCACAAUUGCCCAAACCUCUCCUAUAUGACAAGGAGCCCUCAGCCAUUCUGGCCACAGCACCCAGUCCCUCUCCUUAGGAAGCAGGUACAAUCCGUCUAACACAGCCUUGCAGGAGGGUGAGUGGGCGUGGGUGUGCGUGUGCAUCUCUGUAUGUGGGGGUCUGUUUCUGCGUGUGUAUCUCUGUGUCUCUGCACCUGUGUGUGUCCCUGUAUCUGUGCACACGCCCUCUCAGCAGCAGCGUCUGGUGAUGAAGCAGUUGGGGCUGGUGCUUCUGCUGGGAGUGGCGG
rnacentral:lncRNA from 1 species